GCCCUCGUGGCCUAAUGGAUAAGGCAUCGGUUUCCUAAACCGGGGAUUGUGGGUUUGACUCCCACCGAGGGUA
rnacentral:tRNA from 1 species